rnacentral:rRNA from 1 species
UACGUAGGGGGCUAGCGUUGUCCGGAAUCAUUGGGCGUAAAGAGCGUGUAGGCGGUCCGGUAAGUCCGCUGUGAAAGUCGGGGGGCUCAAACCCUCGGAAUGCCCGGUGGAUACUGUCGGGCUAGAGUGCGGAAGAGGCGAGUGGAAUUCCGUGGUGAUAGCGGUGAAAUGCGCAGAUAUCAGGAGGAACACCUAUUGCGAAGGCAGCUCGCUGGGACGUAACUGACGCUGGAGACGCGAAAGCGUGGGGAGCAAACAGG